GGAUGUGAGGGUGAUCUGGCUGCAACAUCUGUCACCCCGUUGAUCGCCAGGGUUAAUUCAGCUGAUUUGGCUGGCUAGGCGGGUGUCCCUUUCCUCCCUCACCCCUCCAUGUGCAUCCCUCCUGAAACUGCAUGCUUGGUCGAAGAGGAUGACCAUCCCCAAUAGAAGAAGACCAGUCUUUGGUCAAGGGUAUACGAGUAUCUGCGCUGCCUUGCUAGAACUCCCACACAGGUCCUCAAAAUAGAUGCUUGAUAAAUAGCUGUAGAUUGAAAAAGAAAAGCAUCCGCCAAUGCCUGUUACCAUGUGGAAUCCCAGGC
ensembl:misc_RNA 7SK 7SK RNA